rnacentral:lncRNA from 1 species
CUAUGAUGAAUUGGCGCAGGACACAAACACGUAAAAGCUGGGCUUUUUGGGAAAUAUUUUAAUAGUUAUUGAAUGUUCUACAUCAUACAGUAAGUAUUAUACAAUUACAAACUUGCCUUGUCACCAGGACCACUAUCCGAUCCUCAUUAGAACAAAAACAGAUUUACACUUCAUAUACACAAGUCUGAUGUGGGUCUUUGCUUCAAGAACGUCCCAACCGCAUGUUAUAAAACGUUCUGCCAGCAUUGCUGCAACGUAGUGACAGAACAUAGCAAAGACUCUGGGGGCCAUUAGUUGGGAAGUAGUUUUAAUCUCAAGGUGCUGACUCUUAUAAAGUCGGUCUUAAAAAUAGAUACUCUUUUUGUGAAGACGAGUAUACUUCUCUCUCUCGAAAUUAGUGUUCAAAUCAAAAGUUUGACAAGGCCGAAGUUCAUCGUGACCAAAGGAAACAGAAAAGGCAUAGGGAUUGUUACUCUUUCAUGUUCAACAUUGGUGGAGCUGCUUGCUUCUCGACCUCCAGGCAAUGAGACACCCAGGGCAGCUCCCAGCUCUUAAAAUUGCAGACUGAGUUUGCUACGUUGCAGGGAUGUUACACAUAACAUGAAGUGAACAGCGGUGAAACAUACUGUAGCAAAAGGAGCUUUGAUCCCCGUUUACAAAUCUCAUGUCUCAAUCCACAAUCUCUGGACCCAUACCCUUUAGCAUUUUUUAAUAAACAUGAAUUGUAGUGUAAGGACUUGACUCCAGGCUAGAUUUCAGUCUACAGUAUUCCCAGUUAGCACAUUCGGUUCCCUAGAUGUUCAGGGAACAUCUGUUUAUGGUGUCAGUUAGGUUCUGGGAACAUUUCUCGUGUGUUUCAAUGCACUGGGCGUUUGAGGGGAAAGGCCAGCGAGUGGGGACUGUAUGCCAGUCGUUUCUGACCAGCUCAACCAUAAUGAUCUUCUAUUUUAAGAAUAAUAAACAUCAAUCAAUCAACAAAACCUUAAAUAACACUUAUGGUAAAAAGCUCUUAAAUUACAUACCAGAAAUGAAAACUGUAUCAUUCUUUUAA